CAGAGACAAGGCAAAAGGCAAAUUAGCCCAACUUGGCCAUUUACCCUUAACGAAAGAAAGCUUAGCCAUUUAGGGUUCCGUUGAAAAGUGGCCCUCAAAAUGUAACCCAACGCCUUCCAAUUUCCAAUUUCCCACUGUUAUACAGUUUAGUUUUCCACUUCAAUUUUUAUUUUGAAUUUUCAAGCUUUAUUUAAUGUCUUUGAGUCUGAGAGGUGAAUUCUGUUGGGCAUUUGUUCUGAUUCAUCAUUUUUUUUAAUUAAUGCUGACAGAGCAAGUGAAGUGGUGAGAUGUGAGUUCUGGGUUCUAUGGAACUAUGAUUUGUUAGAGAAUUGGGCAGAGAAAAUGGCAGCGGAGUUCAAUACUGGGUUUCGCCGAGAAGAAGCUUUGGGCUCUGCGUUCAAUCGCCACGCGAUAUCCAUUCAAUCGGAUGCAAUAAAUAGUUCGUCUGAGAUUAUUCCGAUGGGGAGUUACUUUGGGAUGAAUACUAGUAAUAGUACUGUCAUUUUGCCGGGACAUUCCAGCAUGUUUAACAGCAGUCCUCGCGGAAUUCUUCAUGUUCAAGCUGUCAAUUCUUCUUCUUCUUCUCUUUUUCUUGAUAUUGCUCCUGACCUCAAGCAUGAUACUGGCUUGGCUAUUGAGUGGUCUGUUGAUGAACAAUACAAAUUGGACGAAGGCCUUAGCAAAUUUACUGAUGAGCCAAAUAUUAUGAGAUACAUAAAGAUUGCAGCCAUGUUACCUGAUAAAACUGUUCGUGAUGUUGCAUUGAGGAGUAGGUGGAUGAUGAGAAAGCGAAGGAAAGCAGAAGAACAUAAUUUGGGAGAGAAGUUCAAUAGUAGGAAGGUAUGAUAGAUCUUUGUGGGAUGUUGACUUUACUCUAUGUAGCAGUCCUUUGAUUUCAUCACUGGGUUUGAUAAAAAAUGCUUCAGCGGAGUGCAUGGUGAACUUCCACUUACCAUCAUAGCAUAACAACAAUAUUGAAAGGAAGGAACAACAAUAUUGAAAGGAAGGAACAACAGUAAUAUGAUGCCUGUUCCUAAUGUUAUUCACUGGGCUGUAUCCUUCCUAUUGGCACACUUUGUUUUGCACCUCUGGUGCCUUUCAAUACCAUCUUCAUUUUUUUUCCUCAAGAAAAAGGGCAUUCUGCUGGGUCAUAAGUCAUGUGGAUAUGAGUAACAGUUUGGACUAUCAUUUGUGUUUAUGAUUAUGAAUUUGUCUAUGUUUUGAAUACUUUCCUCUAGUUUGAUUGUCUAUCAGCUGUCCCUUUUUACCAUGCUAUGUGAUGGAGUAAAGGAAAGUUAGAUAUAGGGAUUAUUUUCUUUUAAUUCUUAAAUAUGAAAAUUCAUCUUUUUUCUUUGUAAAAUUUAUAUUUAGGAAUUGAGGGUUUAUUACUGUUUAGGAAUUUUUAUUAUCAUUUGGAAUGUUUAGAAAGUUAUUUGCUUCCUAUUUUAUGUAGUAUUUGUUUAGAAUUUUUUUAUUAUGGGAUUCAUAAUCCUAGUAUUAGGAUUUGAAUCUUCCUUGUCUAGGAUUUCUAAUCCUAGCAGUAGGAUAAUUAUGUAAAUCUCUAUAAUUACCUAUAUAACUUAGUUAUUUCAUAGGGUUUUGAUAAUGGAACUCAUGAGUAUUUUGAUUUGUUUUAAGGCCUUUGUGCCUAGUUUCUCUUCCCUCUUUUGUGUCUUCUCCUUCCCCUCUUCUGCUACAGCUGCAGUAUCUUGGGUGCAGUUCACAGCCCCAGGAAGCUGCAAUUCUUUUCUUUCUCUCUCUAACAAGCUGUAAUUCAAAUUGCCAACCCUAAACUUCCAUUCCUUCUUAAAUUAAAACCCUUAAACUCAUAAAGUGGUUGAGAAUUGCCAACCAUAAAAGCAUUCAAAGGCUGAUUCCUUGACCUGCCCUACAUUAACAUGAUGACUGUGAUAUAGGAGCUAGCACACUACUGAGAAAUCUGUAUCUCUUUUAUGCCUAAACCAAUAUGAAAUAAUUAUUAGUCUGCUACAGGUUCAUGCACUUUUGAUACCCUAGCCGAACAUAUUUUCAAGAGUGAACUGCUGCAGUUUCUGAUCAUGAAACUUUCAGACUUCAGCAUGAGUUUUAUGUUGAAGAAUUAUGACAGCUAUAGCCAAUUUUACAUUUUAUCAUUUUAUGGCAGCUGGUAUUCUAAUGACUACUUUAUUAUUGUUGAUGAGGAUAAGCUAUAAAAACUCACCUGAAGUAAACUUAAUAUUUGCUACUCAAUUUAUUUGUGGUGUAGCCUUAAAUAUCUAAUUGAUGUUUCAAUUUAUUGAAUCAAUUAAUGUCUUUAGGAUGUAAUGUUGAUUGAAGAACCAGGAUUCUAAAGGUCAUACUUCUUCAGGAUAAGCUGGUGGAAUCAUCGCCAACAACGAAUAUACCUUCGGCUGUGCCACGGAGCAUGCCUGUGUGUCCUAUAAUGAUGCACUACCUAGACCAGGGUGAACCCUUGUCUUUUGAAGGAAUAAGUGGUACAUCUAGGCAUCUCUUGGAGCAAAAUGCUCAAGCUUUUAGAAAAAUCACGGCUAACCUUUCAAUGUUCAAUGUCAGUUCAUUCAAGUUACAGGAUAACAUUGACCUCUUUUGUCACACAAGGAACAAUAUUACUGCCAUCCUGAAUGACAUGAGAGAGAUGCCUGGCAUAAUGAGCCAGAUGCCCCCACUGCCUGUAUCUAUUAAUGAGGAUCUUGCAAAUAGUAUAUUACUAACUACAACUCAGGUAAGCUUUGUGCCGUUUGACUGAAUUGUAUAAUAUGUGAAUAUCAUGCUGACUAAAUAAAUCUGAAUGAGCAGUUCAUUGGUUUCCUUUUGGUUCUAGCAGAUAGCAACCACGAUCCUAAAUCAAGUGGUUGACAUAAUAUUUUUUCAACUCAAUAAUGUCUCCUGGUUUCCUAGUCCCAUUAUGAUAUUUUCUCCUUCAACUUUUAUAAAUAAAACAAAAUGGUGACCCAUCUCAUAUCAUUUUGAUGAAUAGAAUAUUUGAGAUGCACAAUUUCAUCUAUUAAAUUCAACUUAUUUUUCCAUGACCACCAACAUUUUUGUUGUUUAUAUACUAUACUAUACUGUCUUUUAACAUAGCAUAAUUUCUGUCGCCUAUUUCUUCUACAAAAUUUAAAGAAAACUAAACUGAAUGAGAAGUAAGCUACUAGUAAGAAAGCUUGAUCUUCGUUUAUUAUCCGGUUUAGUGAUCCUUCGUAGAGAAAAGAAAGGACAAAGAAGGGAGGACAGAGAGAUAUAUAUUACUUAAAAAGGAAAAAAAUGUUGUCAUGAAAUAUCUGUGCAGAUAUGCCCAUGCUAUUAGCAUGUACACAGACUUUGUAGUAUCUUGAUCUUAUGAAGUUUAUCAUUUAGCAUUAAUCUCACACUUGACAGUCUUAAUCAUUUAGCAUUCAACUCAUUCCCAGUGCCAGCUACUAAGCUAAAUAGUUCAAAAUUUUGCAAUUUAUUGAGAAUUAUUUACUCCUGUUAUGUUGUCAAUGGCCAUCUCAUGAGUUACUAAUCCAAGAUUGUGUGUUGUUGCCAUAGAAAUAAAAAAGAUUGUGAAUGGAUUUUUUUUUGUGAAUGGAUUUUUUUUUACUUGAACGAAUUUUUAUGUUUUAGCUAUAUCUCUGUUUGUAUAUCUAGUCAAUGAUGUUUGGCUCGCCUAGAGGGAUCCAAUUGAAGCAAGAACCAAGGUGCUGAUGGAGAAUUGUUUUUGGGUGGAUUAAAUUUAUCUGGUCCAAGUCCAUGUAAGUAGGGAAAUUUUACUACUGUAAAUGUUAAGUAGUUUGGUAGAAAGCAGUUCGACCGUUGGUGUACGCAUACUCAUCACACUUACAGGUCCCAUAAUGAAAAUAUUUGUAAAGAUCCAUUUUUGAAACCAUAAAUGUUCACCUUGCUAGUUAUGGAACCCAAGCACCAGAUAAUAAGAAUGCCAUGCCAUGCUGAUUGCCCAUUGUUCCUGCGCUCUAUGGUAGGGAUAAUCUCUUCUAACCGGAUUACUGUUUUAUUUUUUAGACAAAUGGUGUUGAAGUUUCUUGUGUACAAAUUUGCCUUGGAGUGGAAUAUUUGGUGCUUGAUUUAAAACCUUCUCUAUCAUGUUAUGUUCUUGGUAUCAUAUUCAUAUCAUAUAUAGCUAUUAGACCAAUACAAAUGCAUGGCUGAUUUGACAAGAAAGAAAAGGAGAAAAAAAACUCAAUAUCUCUCGUGCAAGCUAUUUCAUACCAGCACCCAGGAGACUUCAGGCCGGAUGUGUAAAUGUGGCAAGAAGUUGAUUCAAAAUCUCUUAUUAAUUUAUCCGUAAAAUGUGCAGUUGGAUUGUUUUAAUUUAAUGUCUCUGUUCAAAAUCAAUAGCCUGAGGCGGAAUUAGUUUGGGCCAUUUACUUCUCUCUUUUUUUU
rnacentral:misc_RNA from 1 species